AGAAAAUUAAACUGUUCCCAAAUACAAGCUGAUCAUCCACAACAGCUUGAGUUGGUAAUUUGGUACAAAAAAGCUUUUUGGUUCUCUUUCAAGGAACCCUUUUACGAAAAAAAAAAGAUGCAUGACCAUCCAAAUUUUUUUUUGGAGGUGGGUUUUUUUGUUUUCCAGCCCCUAUGGGGGGCUUUUGUGUGCAAAAAUGCCCAUUUGAUGCCAUGCAAAUUGGGCAUUUUGUGUUAGAGAGAGAGGUGAAAGAGAGAACCAUGGUUAGGCCAAAGGUUUUGUUUCUUCAGAGAUUGCAUGCAGCUGAAUACAUAUUUGAAACUGAAGGAGAAUGAUUUGAGAGAUUCAUUGACUCUAGCGAUGUGGAAUUGGUGGAGCAUGCAGAGCCAUAUUG
rnacentral:lncRNA from 1 species